UGCCAGCCGCCGCGGUAAUACGGAGGGGGUUAGCGUUGUUCGGAAUUACUGGGCGUAAAGCGCGCGUAGGCGGACUAUUAAGUCAGGGGUGAAAUCCCGGGGCUCAACCCCGGAAUUGCUCUCAAAACUGCUAGGCUAGAGUAUGGUAGGGGAUAGCGGAAUUCCUAGUGUAGAGGUGAAAUUCGUAGAUAUUAGGAGGAACACCAGUGGCGAAGGCGGCUAUCUGGGCCAUUACUGACGCUAAGGCGCGAAAGCGUGGGGAGCAAACAGGAUUAGAUA
rnacentral:rRNA from 1 species